GUGGGGAAUCUUAGACAAUGGGGGAAACCCUGAUCUAGCCAUGCCGCGUGAGCGAUGAAGGCCUUAGGGUUGUAAAGCUCUUUCAGCUGGGAAGAUAAUGACGGUACCAGCAGAAGAAGCCCCGGCUAACUCCGUGCCAGCAGCCGCGGUAAUACGGAGGGGGCUAGCGUUGUUCGGAAUUACUGGGCGUAAAGCGCACGUAGGCGGAUCAGAAAGUCAGAGGUGAAAUGCCAGGGCUCAACCUUGGAACUGCCUUUGAAACUCCUGGUCUUGAGGUCGAGAGAGGUGAGUGGAAUUCCGAGUGUAGAGGUGAAAUUCGUAGAGAUUCGGAGGAACACCAGUGGCGAAGGCGGCUCACUGGCUCGAUACUGACGCUGAGGUGCGAAAGCGUGGGGAGCAAACAGGAUUAGAAACCCUAGUAGUCC
rnacentral:rRNA from 1 species